CCUUCAAUUUAGCAAUACCUGCGUCACAAAGUCCCAGCAUGCGUGGUAUCAUUUGGCACGCUGAAACCUGUAAUCAACCCCCACCUCAGUGUUUCCCAAGCAAACUGCGCCUAAUCCAGAGGGGACGGAUCCCUUCCAUGCGCCAAGGCGCAGGUGGGCGGCGCAGCAUCCCCAACAGCUGGGCACAGAAGCAGCUCGGGUGUAUAGCGCUGCAGGGUAGAAGCACCACCACAGCUGCCCACGGCUCCUUUUUCUCCUUUGCCACUCACCUGGAGUGCAAGAGUCCCGGCGCCACAGAGCCAGACUCCCUCAUACCCAGCAGCGCACACGCAUGCGCUGUUUGGGAAGCCGGGAAGGGGCGCAACCAACACAAGACAACAACAAGAAGUUAAGAAGCAACAAACGUGACAGAAGCGAGGAGCAGGGAAACAGGAGGCGGCGACGUGAAAACCGCUCAGCCCACGGCACGAGAGGACGCGGGCCGGGGGGGGGGGAGCUGCAAGCCGCGGGAAAGGGGCAAUAAGGUCCGGAACUACCGCCUGUGGCAACGAGCGGAGAGCGGCGCCGCCAGCGCCCACGGGCGGCCCCGCUCAGGCCACCGGCCCGCGGGGAGGGGAGCCGCCAGCGCGACGUGACGCAGCCUCGCCUCCCAGCACGGCCACGGUGCCCCGGCAGGAUGUGCGGACCCCUGACGUCGCGCAGGAGGCGCCCAGGCGGCGCGAGCGCAACCCAGAACAUUUUGACAGCACGCUAAAAUAACAACAGAAACAUUUUACCCUGUCUGUGCAGCACACUAAACUGUGAAGACCUGGAAGCUGCUGGAACAGCAAAUGGUGGGGGAAAGAACCCAAAUGGGCUCUCAAAACCCAAUCCCAGCCUAUGAUUCCAGCACCCCAUCACAUUCCAUCCUCUCCACUUGAGGAACCACAUGAGUCAGAAUGUCUCCAAGCUCUCAUCAGGAGAGACAGAUCAGAGAUUCUCAAACUAUGGUCCGCAAGCUUCACUCAGCUGGUCUCCGGAUAGUUCUCUGUAAGGUGUGCACCUGAGUUGCUAAACACAAGAGACUGAAGGGCUGCCCACCUAAUUAGUGGCUCCAUUAAUUAGGUGCCUGGACCCUGGAGAAGAUGGACAUAUAAGGAAUGGGUGUUAAGAGAAGUGUGAAGGCCAUCACUGAACCAGAUGUUCUAGGGAGCACUGGAGACAGACGCAAGGGCACCAGGAGGCUGCAAUAUACCCCUAUAGAAAUGUCUGAGAAAGGCAGAUUGACGACUCUAAAGAUGAGACAGGCACCUAUCAAUGGGGACAAGAUAGCUGUGAUCAAAAUCAGCCUGGGAUAACUCCCUGAGAGACUUGAUGAAAGAACAAGAUAAACGAUGAGAAGGCCAAUUUAAGAAAACAAGCACUUGUCAAACAACAAUUGAUUACAGCAUGAUGGUGCAAAAUUCAUCGGUCCCAAUGAAGGAAAAUCGCUAUAUAAACAGGGUGCCUUCCCAUGAAACUUUGGGUUUGUCCUGCCAAGACUUCCCCGAAGCAUUGUGUCAUGACCGACAGAACUCAGCUCCUACCUACCCGUGAUCAACCUAGCUGGCCACUAGAUUGAUAACUAUAACGUUGACUGGCGGGACUGUGUGCGUGUGUGGUGUAUGAUUGAAAUCAUAUGCUAAUUGUUGUUGUAUCUUCAAUAAACACAGCAUAUUGUGUUUUCCCCUGAAAAAGAUCCUGUGUGCUUCUUAUAAGCAUAACAAGAUGUCUGCAGAAUCUUGGAUCUUUUUGCAGUGCUUAGAUCUGUUGGAAUAGAGGCAUUAGACUGUAAAGUUUAAUUACUAAUGAUAGUAAUUUUAAAUAUAGUACCUAUAUUUAAAAAGCUUGUAGAACCCAAUAAAAAUGUUGUAACCAAAAGUUUAGAGAAUUUAAGUUUAAUGUUUGAAAUGUUUGUUUGAAAAUUCAGUAGCAGUAUUUUGUUGAUAUACUACAAUAUGCAUUUCCGCACAGCAUUAUGGAAUUCUUGCACAGGAAGCAAAGACAUCACAUUUUUGUUAUGGAAAUAUUUUUGGAUUGGUUAUAAAACUUAAGAAUGGCAAUUCAUAAUGAAUCAGUGUCUAAAAGAGUGUGCGUAUGUACAGGCCAGAAAUAAUCAUGGUCUUGACAAACCUUUUUCUCAGAGGUUUGAGUAGCAGCCAUGUUAGUAUUCGCAAAAGAAAAGGAGUAUUUGUGGCACCUUAGAGACUAACAAAUUUAUUUGAGCAUAAGCUUUCGUGAGCUACAGCUCACUUCGUCAGAUACAUCCAAUGAAGUGAGCUGUAGCUCACGAAAGCUUAUGCUCAAAUAAAUUUUAGUCUCUAAGGUACCACAAGUACUCCUUUUCUUUUUCUCACAGUAAACAAAGUGACACACAGUAUUAUUUACAUAUACAAUACCCUGAACAAUGAAUAUGUAAAUAUUGACAAGAUAGAACAAAGUGAAUUUAUAAACAAGUAACCGUUUGACAUUGUUUUCUUUUUGCUCUAUAUACUUGUCUGUAACAAAUGUAUAUUGCUUUUCUUUACCCAGAACUUUGUGAUGAGAAUUUCCUGAACCAUUGUAAAAAGAAUCUGACAUGUAUAUGAGAAAUCAGAAAAGCAAAUAAUUAAAGGUAUCUCAAAACGAAGUUUGUAUCAUUA